rnacentral:pre_miRNA from 1 species
ACAACAUUCGGACCGUCGGUCUACCUAGCAAUAUGACCCGCUCAGCGGAAGCUCUUCCUUUCGUCGU